AGUGAACGCUGGCGGUAGGCCUAACACAUGCAAGUCGAACGGCAGCACAGGAGAGCUUGCUCUCUAGGUGGCGAGUGGCGGACGGGUGAGUAAUACAUCGGAAUCUGCCCAGUCGUGGGGGAUAACGUAUGGAAACUUACGCUAAUACCGCAUACGACCUUCGGGUGAAAGAGGGGGAUCGCAAGACCUCUCGCGAUUGGAUGAGCCGAUGUCGGAUUAGCUAGUUAGCGGGGUAAUGGCCCACCAAGGCGACGAUCCGUAGCUGGUCUGAGAGGAUGAUCAGCCACACUGGAACUGAGACACGGUCCAGACUCCUACGGGAGGCAGCAGUGGGGAAUAUUGGACAAUGGGCGCAAGCCUGAUCCAGCCAUACCGCGUGGGUGAAGAAGGCCUUCGGGUUGUAAAGCCCUUUUGUUGGGAAAGAAAUCUUUCAGGCUAAUACCCUGGGAGGAUGACGGUACCCAAAGAAUAAGCAACGGCUAACUUCGUG
rnacentral:rRNA from 1 species